CUUGGAUUCAUAAGCCACUAAACACAGGCUUAAAUCACAGCAGGAGCCCUGUCCUGAAAAUGAGCACAGACCAGCAGCAAAACAAUUCAUUACAUCUGAAACCUAAUUGUGUUAAACCCCCACCUGCAGACAGUUACAGCAGUGGGCAUUCACAUUAUCCCUCCGGGCACGUAAGAAGACGGUGCCAGUGGUCCUUAAGGAAAAAGUCAAUGGAAAUUGACAACUUAUUUUAAACUGUUCCUACAGAAUAAAGCUCUCCAAAGUGUACACUCCAAAACACACACUGAGGACAAAGACCAAAGAUGAGAAUCAAAUAAGGGCAAAAAGCCCUGACUUACAACAAAAAUACAGAAGACUGUAUUAUUAUUAUUAUUAUUAUUAUUGUUAUUAUUAUUAUUAUUAGUAGUAGUAGGUGUAGGUGUGACAGAAAAGUUCAAGGUGGAGGUGGGUCUGCAUCAAGGAUCGGCUCUGAGCCCCUCCUUGUUUGCUUUGGUGGUGGACAGGAUGACAUAUGAGGACAAUUAUGUUUGCAUAUAACAUUGUGCUUUGUAGCAAGAGCAGGGAACAGGUGGAGGAAAAUCUAGAGAGAUUGAGGUAUGCUCUGGAAAGCAGAGGAAUGAAGGUUAGCUGUAGCAAGACAGAAUACAUGUGUGUAAAUGAGAGGAACCUAAGUGGAACGGUAAGGCUACGGGGAGCAGAGGUAAAGAAGGUGCAGGACUUUAAGUACUUAGGGUCAAUGAUCCAGAGCAAUGGAGAGUGGGGAAAUGGGUGGAGAAAAGUGUCAGGUGUGUUAUGUGACAAAAGAGUAUCAGCGAGAGUGAAAAGAAAGGUGGUCAAGACAGUGGUGAGACCAGCGAUGCGCUACGGCUUAGAGACAGUGGCACUGAAGAAAGGACAGAAGGCAGAGUUGGAGGUAGCAGAGAUAAAGAUGUUGAGGUUCUCUUUGGGAGUGACAAGGAUGGAUAGGAUCAAGAAUGAGUUCAUCAGAGGGACAACCCACGUUAGAUGUUUUGGAGAUAAAGUCAGAGAGGCCAGAUUGAGGUGGUUUGGACAUGUUCAGAGGAGAGAUGGUGAAUAUAUCGGUUGAAGGAUGCUGAGGUUGGAAAUGCCAGGCAGGAGGUCUAGAGGAAGACCAAAGAGGAGAUUUAUGGAUGCAGUGAGAGAGGACAUGAAGUUAGUUGUUGUGAGAGAAGAGGAAGCAGAGAAAAGGGUUAGAUGGAGGCCGAUGAUUCGCUGUGGCGACCCCAAUGACAUUAUUUAAUCAGUUCUAUCAUGUUCUAAUAUUUAACUAAUAUUUUACAGUACUGAAAUACACCAUGGAAUGGUCAUAUGCCUUAUGAUCUUCUCUGUUGGUAAAGAAGGAGGGCACAACCAAAGCCUAAUGUUUUUAAUGAUGUUAUGUUUAUAAACAUUUAAACGAAUUGUAUCAAUUAAUCCAGUGCACAUAAUUCAGGUCACGAAUAAUGAUAAUAAAUGUUUAUAUUUUACUGUCGUAAUCGUAAGGUCAUAUCAGAAAUGAGUUAACAAAGUUUUUCCACAAUCAGAGUGUUUUGUAUAAAGCUGUACUAGCUUUUGAUAAGAUUAGUCCUAUGUUUGUUGUAGUGAUAAGAUAGAUUAAUAAUUGUAAAAAAUAAAGACAAUGAACGAGUGCAACAUUGUGCAGUUGCUUUCUUGAGCUUGAGGGUACAUAAAUAUAUGAUUCCAUGAUUUUUCAUGAUAAACAAAUGAUGAAACUGUGUCAGACCAUGCUUUCUACACUCACCCAAAUCAUACUGCAAGAACACAGUAAAUCUGAUAAUUACAGUUGCAAGAAAAAGUAUGUGAACCCUUUGGGAUUACAUGCUGCCAAAGGAGGGUCAACCAGUUAUUAAGUCCAAAGGUUCACAUACUUUUUCCACCCUGCAC